GGAUAGCUCAGUUGGUAAAGCAUGAUACUCUUAAUCACAGAGUCAUGGGUUCAAGCACCGCGUUGGACA